rnacentral:lncRNA from 9 species
CAUAGUUUGGUGAGCAGAGUACAAGAUUGAUUUCAGCCUUACUCACCUUCCUGGCCAGUGUCCCUUUUAGAGAGUACUGCCCAAACAACCAUAUGCAGGGGCCAAUAAAUAUUAGAUGGUAAAUACAGUGACAGAAUAGUAUUCUAAAAAAGGUGGACUGAAGAUAGGUGUAUAGGUUGUGCUUUCCUUCAUUUGGAAAUUUGAACAGUAUGCAGAAUAAAUGAGACAUAUGGUUUCUAUAACGGAGAACCAAUUAUAAUUAAGUCAUAUUUCUUUUUUUUUUUUUUUUUUUGUCUUUUGUCUAGGGCCGCUCCUGAGACAUAUGGAGGUUCCCAGGCCAGGGGUUGAAAUGGAGCAGUAGCCACUGGCCUACUCCAACACUGGAUCCAAGCUGUGUCUGGAACCUACACUACAGGUCCCAGCAACACCAGAUCCUUCAUCCCCUGAGCAAAGCCAGGGAUAGAACCCGCAACCUCAUGAUUCCUAGUUGGAUUCCUUUCCACUGCGCCACGACAGGAACUCCUAUUUGAAAGCUUUUGAACAUGACCAGAUCUAUAAUUUUUAAUAAAUGAUCGGUCUCAUAUAUGUAAAAAUGGAUCAUUUGAGUCAGGAAAAAUAAGUAUGGUAUUUAGAAGAAUAUUCUUGUGUGGGAUCUUAGAGGAACAUGAGAUAAAAGCGAAGAUAAUGAAGAUGAAGGCUUGGCAUGACACAGGAACUGUUCAGAUGAAAGAAAAAAAUGGAGAAGAAAGAGUUAAGGAGGACUCUGAAACUUUGUACCUGAGUAAACAGAAAAAUGAUUUUGUGUUGAAUAUAUUGGGUAAAUCUAAAAGAUACCUUCUUUGAAUUCAGGGAAUUUAUAAUUUUUAUAAUUUUUUUUUCCUAAGAACAAGGGCAAAAUAUCUAUAAUGUAAAGCAAGUUUUUCUUUAUAUUUACAGUGGAUUUGUAGCUCCUUUGCAAAUUUUUAAGUUAAUUUUAAUUCCAGUUUAUUUAUUAAGCUUCAAGACAUUUUAUGUGGUCAUAUAUUUAUUACAUAUUCCCAUUCUAUUUUAAGAUAAUUUAAUUAGAUUUGAUUUCUGGCUGUAAGUGAACUCAUGCAUUAAAUCAAGAAUAAGUAAAGACAUAAUACUGAGUUAAAACCCUAUAAUGUUGAUAUUUGAAUACCUGUCUUUUUCAGAUAUCUUGUAUAUAUAUUUUCCUUUUAACCUUGCCCUGGAAAUUAUGAUAUACUUUUUAACUUUUUAUUUUGAGAUAAUAUUAGACCUACAGAAAUGUUACAAAAUAGUACAUAGAGUUUCCAUAUAUUCUUUUUUAUGUGACUUUAAUGAUUUUUAUUUUUUCCAUUAUAGUUGGUUUACAGUGCUCUGUCAAUUUUCUACUGUACAGCAAAGUGACUCAUUCACACACACAUACACACAGACACAUACACACACACACAUAUAUACAUUCUUUUUCUGAUAUUAUCCUCCAUCAUGUUCCAUCACAAGUGACUAGAUAUAGUUCCCAGUGCUACAGGAUCUCAUUGCUUAUCCAAGUUUCCAUAUAUUCUUGACUCUGCUUCCCCCAAUAUUAACCUUCUGUAACCAUAGUCCUAUUAUCAAAACCAAGAAACUAACAUUGAUCGCUGACUGAUUUUAAUACUAUUAGUCUCUCAAUAAUUUUUAUAAAAAAUUAAAAUGUAUAUAGAAAGAGUAUUAUAGCUUAUUAUUUAUAUGUUCUGAAUUCUCUUUUAAGCUUUUAAUCCAUGGGCACUAAUGUGAUGGGCUACAUACAAUGUUAGCCAAAGCUAUGAAUACAACCUACUGUAAAUGAUGCUAGCAGUCUAUUAUGGCAUCUUUUAUGCUAUUUAUUUAGGGUUCCAACAAACAACUUUGACCAUUUUACCUGAUAUAAGUGUUUGCAAAUAAUAGAAGUUUGCAAAAAACAAAAAAUGAAAAGUUUGAAAAAAGGGAAAAUGAUAGUAUUGCUGGCUGUAAAAUGUUAAGUUUAGUAGUGGCUGGGAACACCAUCAAGAAGAUGGUUAAGACAGGGAAACAGAUCAGUGGGCAAUUAAGGACCGAUGGAAAUUAUCUGACAUUAUUAAGGGCAUUAUUCAUAUCCCUGGAGCCUAGGAGGAGUGGCCAACAAUCUGCAAGGAAAAGGAAAUGAGAUUUAUGUUUGGUGAGGAUUUUUAUAUCCCUCUAAUAGAAUUUUCUGAGGGGCUGAAUUUUUGGCUUGGAAUCAAGCUAUUCCAGUGGGACCUCCAGCCUUGUUUCACCACCCACCCUUGUUAAAUACCCUCAUCCAUCCAAUUGCUCAAGCCAAAGAUCCAGAAGUCAUUCUUGACCCCUCUUUCUAUAAUUUCCCAAGUCUGAUUCAUCGACAAGUACUACUACUUUUACCUCAUAGACAUAGUCUUAAAUCAUCUUAUUCAGUUCAUCUCCAUUGCUGCCACCCCAGAAUGUGGCUUUCUCCUCUCAUACCAGAGCAAUUGCACUAGCAUCCCAACUGUUUUCUUGAAAUUUAUUCUUAUCCCUCUCUAACCUUUUCCCCAUAAAUAAGCUGGGAUUAUAUUUUUUAAAUCAUAAAUUCCGUCAUGUCAGUAAUGGAAUAUUACUCAAUGCUAAAACUAAGUGAGCUAUCAAGUCAUGAAAAGACUUGAAUGUAUAUUACUAAGUAAAAGAAGCCAAUCUGAAAAAGGGUUACAUACUAUAUGAUUUCAACUUUAUGGCAUUCUGGAGAAGAUUAAACUAUGGAAACAAUAAAAAGAUCAGUAGUUGCCAGGGGCUAGUGAUGACUAGGCAGAGCACAGAGAAUUUUAGAGUGGUGGAGCUAUUCUAUAUUUUAAUACUAUGGUAUGUGUGAAGACAUGUAUUCACUAUCAUAGUAUCAUACAUGCACCAUAUAUGUAUCAUAUAAUAUAUGGUAUGAAACAAUAAUGGUUGAUAGAUGUUAUUAUACAUUUGCCGAAACCCAGAGAUUGCUCAAUGCAAAGAAUGAAUCCUAAUGCACUUGGGUGAUAAUAAUGUGUCGGUGUAAGCCCAUCAUUUGUAGGAAAUGUUCCAUUCUGAUGAGAGAUAUUGAUAAUGAGGGAGGCUAUGACUGUAGGGGAAGGGAGUACUGGGAAAUCUUGGUACCCUCCACUCAGUUUUGUUGUGAACCUAUAGAUGCAGUAAAACACAAAGUUUAUGUUCUUAAAUGUCCUAGAGGUAUUGCAUAACUGACUGCUGCCUAUCCAUCUAAACUCAUUUCUGCUACAGCUAAUAUUCCAUGGCCAAGGGAGAAAAAGGGAAAACCGUCUGUCCUUCUCCAUCUAGGCCUUGCAUUGCUCCUCCAGCAUCUUUCUAAGGGCAGUUUCUAAAACACAAUAUCAAAGUUGCAAUAGGCAGAAGUUAGGAUAUAAGGAAGUUCUCCUUUGACUAUUUUCUUCAGCUGGCUUCCCACUAUCUUAGGGUAGGUAGUCAGUUUAAUCUCUUAGGGUGCUUUUGGAUGCACAUUAGAGGUCCCCACUGAGAACAGUCAAAUACACUUCCUGUGCAUUGGGGAAUAGGUUUUUUUUUUAGCUGCACUACUGUCAGCUUGCAUGUUGGGGGCAUCUAUUCCACACACUCUCAUGCCCUCCAUAACCCUCCCAAGGGCUCCUUUAGACAGCUCCUCUUCAUGCUGGAGUUAUAUAGUCCCAUGGUUCAUACUCAUACAUUCUUUGUAGUAACGAACUCUGGACAUUCAAGCAAAUAUCAACCUUGUGGGGAGCGCUCCUUAAAUCUGAUGCUAAAGCAGAUAGCUCAUCCGCGUGUGUCAUUGGUCACUGUCCAGUCAGGAGUCAAAGUCAAGGUGUGCCUACAGAAACUGCUUCACUAAAAUUGACUGGAGGGGAAGAUUUGCAUUCCUCAGAGAAAUCUUCUUCAGAAAACCCUCUCACAACUCCUCGUUCCAAGCCUUAUUUAUAGUUUCGGUGUGUUCAGGGUCACCUAUUUUGAUAUUCUUACAAGGAGGUCUGUCUCAAAACUUACUUAGUGAUCUGCUGUCUCAUAGGCAGUUACCUUAGUAAAGAACUUUUAAUGUAGUGUGUUGAUAUUUACAUAAAAUUGAUAAGGUCUUAUAUAAAGUGACAGUUUUAACUCUCUGACUUUUAAUUUGCUUUAUCAGAUUGGACAUUUAAAAGGCAUUUUAGAAUAUAAAAAGAAGUCUAGAUCACUCAUAUCAAAACACUUUUAAUGGAAACCAAAAUAUUGAAUGCAUUUAUAAAAGUGCACUCUUGACAUUAAGUGAAAAAUCCUACAUGCACAUGUAUUAAGCAUUCCUCGUAGCCUUAUUUUCAUCUUUCACAUGGUUAAAUAUAAAUCUCCAGGAAGGGGUGAAUCUAGAUAUUAUUCUUUUAAGAGACGAAAGAUAUUUGUUUGGUGAUAAAUUCACUAAGGGAAGCCCCAAUUAAAAAUGUCAACUACAGCACUUCCAUGGUAAUUUUAAAGCAUGUUGCUAUUAAUCAUGUGUUUUAAUAUCUAGAAUUCACAGUGCUGUAAUGAUUUGUCUUUAAGGAGCUAAAAAAGUACAAUAAAACUUGUGAUUAAAUAUCUCAGUCAGCAAAAACACCUUGUAAUUUAGCUUAAUAGUAGUGUUUUAUUAAUUUCAAAGUUGUGGUUUUGGUUUUAGCUUACUAAUAUUGAUUCCAACAGCUUAUCCAAUCUUUAGAGCUCCUUUUUUUGGGGGGGCUGCACUCACAGCACAUGGAGGUUCCCAGGCUAGGGGUCUAAUUGGAGCAGUACCCUCUGGCCUAUGCCACAGACACAGCAACACAGGAUUCAAGCCAUGUCUGCUGACCUACACUGCAGCUCAUGGCAACACCAGAUCCUUUGCCCACCAAGCGAGGUCAGGGAUUGAACCUGUACCCUCAUGGAUACUAGUCAGAUUUGUUUCCCUUGAGCCACAACAGAGCUCCCCCCUUUUGGUUUUAAAGAACAUAUUUUUAUCUUCCCAAAGGAGAGCUAAUCAGUUAACUUAAAAAAAUCUUAAAACUUAAAUGAUAUUUUAUUUGAAUAUUCUUACUCUUCACUAAAAAUAAUGUUUGUAUUUCUAAUAUAAAGAAGUAAUCUAUAAACGUAUACUAUUCAACAGUUUUUAAUAAACUCAAAAUACCUUAUUCAAUCCUUUUAAUGCAUUGUGAUGCCCUUAAACUAUUCAGUUGGAUAUUUAAACAGCUGAUACAAUUAAAUGAAACAAUCUCAUUGAUGAAUUUGUUUUACUAUGUGAAUAGUCAAACUCAUAGGAUAAAACUGUUCUUAUAGGGAACGUUACCUAUCUUUGCUUCCAAAAGCAAGUCCCUCACCUGUUAGCUGAAGCAAACCAAGUUAGCAUUUGUUUUCAGGAAGAUAAUUGUUCCAGUAGUUCCAGGGAACAAAAGCCAUAAACUCAUAUCCAAAGUAUGCAAUUUUCAGUUGAGAAAAUUCAGGAGACCUGAAUUAUUCCCCAAAUAAUGAUAUAGGAUUGUAUUUGAUAUUGUUAACAACUGCUGCUUCAUACAUUGGGUUAUAACCAAAGUUCCCAGAAUUUUUGGAGGUUAAAAAAAUUUCACAGAGUGUUUCAUUCCUGAGAGAUCCUAUCUAUCCUAUCCUAUCUAUCUAUAUCUAUCCUAUCUAUCCUAUCCUAUCCUAUCCUAUCCUUUCUACUGCCCUGGAAAUAAGAUAAAAACUCUUCACCAUGGCCUGUAAGUCCUUGAGCAGUGGGUUUCUUGCUCUUCCAUCCCAGCUGGCCCCAGAUCCUUCCUCCCUUGAUCUCUGGCUAUACUAUUGCAGUGCUGGGCUCCACUUACUGUUUCCAGUAUGCUGAGUAUCUUUCUGCCUUGAGUUCUUCACAUGCUAGUGGAGAAACCAAAUGCUCUUCUUCCCAUGGCUAGGUCAUUCUCAUUUUCUAAUUCCCAUUCCACACAUUGCCUCUGGAGACCUUUCCUCUUGGCCUUCCUGACUACCUUUGCUAUGUAGGAACUUUCUCCUCCUCAUUCCAUUAUUUUUCAUCAUAGUAUGUAAUCACUCUUUAAAAAUUUGUAAUUACAUGUUUAGCAUCUGGAACAUUGCUAAAUAGCCAUGCUGCAAUAUUUGUUGAAUGGAUAAAUGACCUUGAAACCUGGGAAGGCACAAAGGCAAUGAAAAAAAGUUAGUCGAAUGAAUGAAUGGAUUUAGGACUAACGGACUACUUGAUACAAAAUGUUGUCACUAUCCAUUGGACCUUAUGAGUUAUUUCAGAAAAUGUUUUUUGAGAGUAUGCCUCUAUUAAAUGGGAAUCACAUCCCAAAAGAACAGUUGCCAGUUUAUUACAAGUUUUCAGGGCAUAUCAUAUUAAUCUUUCAAAUUGUUAUAUAAUUUUUUGGGGUCUGAAUCUAUGGAAGAAAUAACACUCUCUAGAAAUACUGUCAGGUGCCAACAUUUAAUCAGCUUUUUUGGCAAGUAAAAUAUAGGCUUAUAUAUCAAUGUUUUUUCCAUUUUCAAAACAACAUAUCACAGUCAAAUAUAUACAAUUGUAGUGGCUUUUAAUAGCAAGUACUAUAAUACUCCAAAUACCUCAAUUGUAUUUUUCAAAUUAGGUAGAAAUUCAAAAGUGUGAGCCAGUGCACUGGCUCCUAGCAAUAGAUUUGAACUUGAGGCUUUACUAUGAAGAAUAGUAUCAACUUAGAUAUAUAUUUUUUCCUAAAACCAUAAUGACACAUAUUUUCUUUGAUUAGAGAACUAUACAGCUUAUAUAUUGGGUUUCACCUACAGUCCAGAUCUACAAUGAAAGUAUAUGAAGUUUUUAUUGUUCACUCAAGGCAUAUUAUAUUUGCUAUAGGCCUAUGAUUUUGUGACACAUGAAAUAUUAUGUAUAAAGUUUUGGUAUUAAAAAUAUUUUAAAUUGUGACUUUUGGAAAUUUAUUAAUUCAAGCUCAUUAAUUUUAUCAAAAUGUAAUUUAUCCAAUGGAAAAGUAAUGCUAAAUUAUACUUGGUAAAUUUGGUAAAUAAGAUUGGUAAAAAAGAUUUCUUUAAAAUCUCUUCAAUAUAUAGUGCCAUUUGACAUAUGGAAAUUGAGCUUCCAUGAACAAAUUUUAAUAGAAAAA